CCGAGAACACAGGGUAAAAGCAGGGCUCUCCCCCUGGCAGUUGCUCUUUGGAUUUCCAGCGGUGAAGGAGUUGAGUCUCUCCCCCGGCCCAGUUGCUGGCUGGGCUGGGGGAGGGGAAAAGCCAUGCGGCCCGGCCCGGGAGAGAAAACUUACUGCGAUCUGAUUUUGGAUGUCCAGCUUCUGUAAUACGUUCAAGGACCAGAUUUCCCAAGAGUCAUCAUGUGUAACAGGACUGGUUAUCUAAAAUCUAACUUGCAAAUCAAUAGGAUAGAAAACAUCUGUGACUGGAUAACAUGGAAAGGCAGAUACAUGAGAUGACUAUUACCUCCUUUGAGGCAGAAGAAGCAAUGAGGCUAUCAUGAGAUGCAAUUCCAUCCGCUAGGGGCUGUCAGCUGAAUUUAGUGUUUGUAUGCUCCGAGUGCAGAAAUCUACAACAAAUGUGUCUUGGAAGAAUGCAGAAUAAGUACAAGCAAAACACAAACCACAGGAAGAAGCUUGAACAUCUACACUUAAACAGAAUUCUGAUAUCCACCAAGCAGAGAAAAGUUCUUGCAUGACCAUAUAGGAGCUCUGGGGAAAAACCAAAAUUAUUUGCCAUGUCUCGGUUAUGGAACAGUUAACAGAGAACAAGGGUUUUGGUGUUCUGCACAAAAGUAAUGACAAUAGACAGCUUCCAUCAAAUUAAUAGAUGGUUUAGGUUUUUAAAAAAACCUAAAACACCUUGUUCAGUAGUUAACUUGACCCUUCAGCAAGAAUUAAUACAUAAUAGAUCCCUUCCUGAGAACUUUGCCAUUAACUUCAAACAGAAAGACAGCCUGUUCUCCUCCAGUAUUUUGCUUAAACCGACUUUCCUUUGAAUCCUCUGGCUGCAUCUUUUUUCACCCAAGUUCAUUCCUGUCCACUUUUGCUACCACUGUGGUCACAAGCUCCUCUGACCUGGCACUCUACAGUAUCUUUGUGACUCCUUUUUCUGCUGCCUGCCUGAUUCCCAUGAAGCUGUGGCAAUCACCAUGCCUUACCAGUCCUUUCUACACUCUGAGCUGCCAACACGAUGUUUCACUGAGGAAAGCAGAAAAUUCACGUGACACUGUGGAGUGACUCAGCCAGUGUGCUUCCUUCGACGGCCUGCAGCAGCUGGGUGCUGAAGGGGACCCAAAGAAAAAUGCUGAAAAUGCAGACCCGCAAGUCACACUAGAUGUGGGAUAUAAUGGAGGAUGGUGGCUCAGGGGCUCAUAAAUAACCACUAUACCUCCUUCACCACUGCAUUUUGGUUCCACAAUCCAGAAGUCUAUUAAAGAUAAGUAAUUAUCACCACACCUCCCCAGGAAGCAUUCUCCACAAAAUGGCCCUCAGACAGAUUAAUGCUUGCUUUUUCUACAAUAAAGUCUGGAUUUUAAGUUUUUUUCAUACAAUUAAGGAGCACUGUAAAACACUUUUAUUAUCUUUUUACUCAGACUGAGAGACAAUUACUGUGUUGUUUGUAUAUGCAGCAACCUAUUCAAGUAUUAGUCAUUUUCCUUGUUAUUAGCUUCUGCUUUAAAUUGCUUGAUAAAAAAUUAUGGCCACAUUUGUGAUCCCACAGUGUUUGUUUUCUUUUUUUAUGGCAUGGCAACACAAAUGAAAAGAGACAGCUAAUGGCCUGGGGAGGAAGACAUGUGGUCUCAACAGGAAGGCUGCAAUGACAGGGAGAAGAUCAGCAGUGAAAAAGCCAAGAACCAUCUCCUCAUCUCCUCAGCACAGAGAGCUGCUGUUUGGUCUCCCUAAAGCUGUCACUGCUCCAGGCUGAAUAAGGCCAGCUCUCCAGCCUCUCUUCACAGGUCAGGUACUCCAUCCAUCAACGCAUUGGUGGCCCCCCUUACCUCACUUCAUUUUACUGAUGCUUUUCUUUAUUAGAGGGGACAAAACACGACUCGCUGUUCUAGAUGUGGACUAACAAAUGUCAAUUAGAAAACAAAUAAACCCUUUCUUGUGU